rnacentral:rRNA from 1 species
AACGCGAAGAACCUUACCUGGGCUCGAAGCGUAGUGGACCGGGGUGGAAACAUCCCUUGCCCGCAAGGGCCUGCUACGGAGGUGCUGCAUGGCUGUCGUCAGCUCGUGUCGUGAGAUGUUGGGUUAAGUCCCGCAACGAGCGCAACCCUUGAUCUUAGUUGCCAGCAUUCAGUUGGGCACUCUAAGGUGACUGCCGGUGACAAACCGGAGGAAGGUGGGGAUGACGUCAAAUCAUCAUGCCCCUUAUGACCUGGGCUACACACGUGCUACAAUGGAUGGUACAAAGGGCUGCAAAACCGCGAGGUCGAGCCAAUCCCAUAAAACCAUUCUCAGUUCGGAUUGUAGGCUGCAACUCGCCUACAUGAAGCUGGAAUCGCUAGUAAUCGUGGAUCAGCAUGCCACGGUGAAUACGUUCCCGGGCCUUGUACACACCGGUCUA